rnacentral:rRNA from 1 species
GGAAUAUUGCACAAUGGAGGAAACUCUGAUGCAGCAACGCCGCGUGGAGGAUGACGCAUUUCGGUGUGUAAACUCCUUUUAUGAGUCAAGAAAAUGACGGUAGCUCAUGAAUAAGCACCGGCUAACUCCGUGCCAGCAGCCGCGGUAAUACGGAGGGUGCAAGCGUUAUUCGGAAUCACUGGGCGUAAAGGACGCGUAGGCGGGAAGCCAAGUCUGAUGUGAAAUCCUAUGGCUCAACCAUAGAACUGCAUUGGAAACUGGUUACCUAGAGUAUGGGAGGGGGAGAUGGAAUUAGUGGUGUAGGGGUAAAAUCCGUAGAUAUCACUAGGAAUACCGAAAGCGAAGGCGAUCUCCUGGAACAAUACUGACGCUAAGGCGUGAAAGCGUGGGGAGCAAACGGGAUUAGAUACCCCGGUAGUCCACGCCCUAAACGAUGAACACUAGUCGUCGGGAUGCUAGUCAUCUCGGUGAUGCACUUAACAGAUUAAGUGUUCCGCCUGGGGAGUACGGUCGCAAGAUUAAAACUCAAAGGAAUAGACGGGGACCCGCACAAGUGGUGGAGCAUGUGGUUUAAUUCGAAGAUACGCGAAGAACCUUACCUAGCCUUGACAUUGAUAUAACACACUAGAGAUAGAGUGGUGCCCUUCGGGGAAAUAGAAAACAGGUGCUGCACGGCUGUCGUCAGCUCGUGUCGUGAGAUGUUGGGUUAAGUCCCGCAACGAGCGCAACCCUCGUCAAUAGUUGCCAGCAGGUUAAGCUGGGCACUCUAUUGAGACUGCCUUCGCAAGGAGGAGGAAGGUGAGGACGACGUCAAGUCAUCAUGGCCCUUAUGGCUAGGGCUACACACGUGCUACAAUGGGGCGUACAGAGAGUUGCGAUACCGCGAGGUGGAGCCAAUCUCAUAAAGCGUCUCUCAGUUCGGAUUGAAGUCUGCAACUCGACUUCAUGAAGCUGGAAUCACUAGUAAUCGUAGAUCAGCAAUGCUACGGUGAAUACGU